rnacentral:tRNA from 1 species
GCCCGGCUAGCUCAAUGGCAGAGCGCUGAACUUCUAUCAUGGCUUUAAUUAUAUGUCCUCGUGAAUUCAGAGGCUGGGGGUUCGAGUCCCCCGUUGGGCU